rnacentral:lncRNA from 1 species
UGAGUGUUUGAUAGCUUUCCUUUUUCAUAACAAUAAUUAAAAGUAGCGACUAUAAAAGUUUUUAAUUCUUCCCAAAAUUUUCUGUAAAAUUCAACAUUUAAUCCAUCAAGCCCAGGAGCUUUAUUUAGUUUCAUUUUAAAAAUUGCAUCAGUACAUUCAUCAACAGUUAUUUCCCCUUCACAAGUAUUACUUUCAGAGUCAUUUAAUUUUUUAUAUUCUUUUAGAGAUUCUAAAUACUUUUUUGUUUCUUCUAUCUCGGGAUUUUUUGUAGAGUACAAAUUUUUAUAAUAAUUUGCUUCUAAUUCUAAUAUUUUGUCUUGAUCUCUUGUAAUUUGACCCUUAUCAUCAUAUAAUUGGGUUAUUGUUUUUCUACUCUGUCUAGAUUUUUCCAUCCCUAGAAAAUAUGCUGAAUUUUUUUCUCCCUCUUCAACCCAUUUUACCUUGCCCUUAUUCGGUUACCUUUUAUUUUCUCAUUAUAGAGUUUUCCUAUUUCAUUUUCUAUAUUUUCUACUUUCUGUACUAAAUUGCUUUUGUUUUUGUCAUUGCAUGAUGAUUUGUCUAUAAUUUUAUUUAAUUCCGUUAACAUUUUUUCCAACUGGCUGAUUUGGUCUUUUUUAUUUUUAGCUUUUAUUUUACAAUAGUUGAUUGUCUGGUCUCUAACUUCAAUUUUGAAAUUGUCCCACAGAAUGUCAAGUUCAGUUUUAGUUUUUGCCUUGUUUUUAUAAUUUUUUAUUAUCUUAUUAAUUAUUUCAAUGUAGUCUUCAUUUUGAAGUACACUACUGUUAAGUUUCCAGUAUCCCCUUCCUUUUUGUCCUCUACUUAAAUUUAUUUUUAAGGAAACACAGUUGUGAUCUGUGUAUUGUAGUACUAUUGGUCUUAUAUCACAUGAAACACAGUUUUUGAAUACCUCAGGAGCAAUUAAAAAAUAAUCAAUUCUUGUUGACUCCGAUCUAUCUUUUCUACUCCAUGUAUAUUGAAUUUUGUUUGGAUUUCUGUUUCUCCACACAUCACUUAGUUUAAGGGACUUUAUAAGUUUAUUUAAGUUGUGAGCAGGUUUUUUUUUUAUUUUGGUGCUUAGAUUUGCUUUUUGAAUCAAUAUGGGAUAAAAUUUCGUUAAAAUCUCCUCCUAGAAUUAAUUGACCCAAACUUUUUUUUCUUCUAUUACAGCAUGUACAGUUUUAAAAAAAAUAUUUCUGCUUUUUGGAUUAUUUGGCGCAUAAAUGUUAGCUAUUGUUAUAAUAGUGUCAUCUAUUUCAAUAUUAACAAGCAAUAGCCUUCCUUCAUUAUCUUUAUAGUCAUCUAUAAUUUUAAAG